AAACCACCAGGGAUUGCCUUAGUAACGGCGAGUGAAGCGGCAAAAGCUCAAAUUGAAAUCUGGCGCUUUUAGUGUCCGAGUNGUAAUUUGAAGAUUGUAUUUUGAGGUUGGUCCUUGCAUAUGUUCCUUGGAACAGGACGUCAUAGAGGGUGAGAAUCCCGUAUGUGGUGAGGUUUCCUUCUUCAUGUAAAAUACUUUCGAAGAGUCGAGUUGUUUGGGAAUGCAGCUCUAAGUGGGUGGUAAAUUCCAUCUAAAGCUAAAUAUUGGCGAGAGACCGAUAGCGAACAAGUACAGUGAUGGAAAGAUGAAAAGAACUUUGAAAAGAGAGUGAAAAAGUACGUGAAAUUGUUGAAAGGGAAGGGCUUGAGAUCAGACUUGGUAUUCAGUGAUCAGCUUCCUCUCGGGGUUGUGCACUCGCUGUUUACUGGGCCAGUAUCGGUUUUGGCGGCAAGACAAUUGCGUAGAAAUGUGGCCCUUCGGGGUGUUAUAGUCCUGCGUCGAUGUUGCCAGCUGGGACCGAGGACCGCGCAUUUUGCUAGGAUACUGGCGUAAUGAUCUUAACCGC
rnacentral:rRNA from 1 species